UAUCAGGUGCUUACCAGAUGUAACCUACUCUACUGGCACAUACCAUGGUGACUGAAGACUAGCAGAGGAAGACAGAAGUUGAUAGGCAGCUCCAAUAAAGGAGGGAAAGUACAUGACAGGAGUUCAUACCAGGAGCAUCUAACUACUUCUUCUGGAGGAGAAGGAUCAAGUGGAUCUCUCUGAAGGAUAUGCUUUUUGACACUUGAAGAAUGAUUAAUGGAAGUAGGAAAAUAUGGAUCAAUAGAACUAAGGGCCAAGGCCAUGAACAAUCAAUGUUUGGAGCUUGUGAGGAAGAAUACACACUGGAGGAGGGGCCAUGCAGAAAGAAGAGAUUCAGAAGGAUGAAGUUGCCAGGAACAAAAGUGCUGAGAAUGAGUUGCAUUAAAAAAUGCAGUUGUUAUCGGUGCCAGAUGAAUAAAUCAUCAACACUAAUGUAACUUCAUGCAUACUCAGAGUAAGUCAUUAGCAUGUUCCAAAUUCAGAGGAAGAACCUAAAUGUUCUCAAACCACUGAAGAAGAGGCAGGGAUGUUAUCUGAAAAAUCCGAGCCAGAUAUGGAACCAGCUUCAGACUGCCCUCAAAAAGUUUCUUUUUUUGUUUGUUUGUUUGUUUGUUAUUUCCUCCACUAAUUCUAUCAAAAGUAAGUACAGAGGGAAGAGGGGUGGGCAGGUUUUAAGGAAUUGCAACUGCUUAAGGUCAGACGGGUCUCCUCAUUAGCCCCGCCCUCGCUGUCC